CGUAAGGGGAUUAACUCGCUCAUCGCGCUCACUGCCUGGUCCAUUUGAAAGCACCGCAACGCUGCCGUCUUCGACAAUGCCCGGCCCUGUAAUGAUGAUCUUGCUCGCACAAUCAAAGAUGAGGCCCGCUUGUGGGCACGUGCUGGAGCAACUGAGUUAGCAUCAACGUUCCUGUAA
rnacentral:rRNA from 1 species